rnacentral:lncRNA from 1 species
CUUCCUUUCAUGAUGGCUGCCAGUAACAGCUACCCCUCAUUUACAUCCAGCAGAGAUGAGGGGUAUCUCUUCGGGGAGUUCAUGCAAAAAAAAGCAAGAAAAGCUGAAAUCUUCUCACUUCAAAGGAAUGGCACAUGACAGCACUUAGCCAAUAAAGCAUUCUCUUCUGGGACUUUGCAAUGCAAGCAAAUGAAACCAGGAACACAUGGCAUUUAUUCACCCCAGGGAGCUGUCCAAAGCAGACUAUUGCAGCUAGUCUGCAAUGAGACCACUGCUGAGGAAACUACUUUCUAGCAUUCUGGAGUUAUCUCAAUCUUUCCUCAUUUCACAAGCCCACCUGUUACUUCUUUUAAUUCCAUUAUCCCUCUGUUCCUUUCCAGCACCUUUUCUUUUUUUUAUCUUUGCUUAAAAUUUUUUUUAACUUUUUGCUUCUAAAAACCAAGAAAUUUUAAGUUAUCAGAAAUUUGAUAAAAGAUGAGUGACCCAGUUACUUUGGUUAAGUCUCAGGAGAAGAUUUUAAAGCAAUUAUGUCCAAUAAGGCAACCACUAACCACAUGGAACUAUUUAAAUUCAAUUCAAUUAAAAUUAAAUAAGACAAAAAUUUAGUCUCUUGGUCACACUGGCUACAGUUCAAGUGGUCAAUAGCUGCACGUAACUUAUUGUUACUUUAUUGGACAGCACAGACAUAGAACAUUCCCUUCAUUGCAGAAAGUUCUGUUGGAUAAUUGCACUGUUCCGAAGUAUCCAAGAGUCUAUGACAGAAAAUGAGAGGUAUUAUUAAGAAAUCCUCAGGGAAAAAUAAAAGUUGGCUUAUGACAAUGGACUCUGUUACUUCCCAGAUUUACUAGCUAUGAUGAAAUCUCUGGUAUAAACAGGUAUUUUGAGUCUAGCACAGUACCUGGUACAUGGUAGUAUGUAAUUGCUAUGCAUUGAAUUAAUGUCUGCAGUAUCAGAUGCUACUAAAGCUGUGCGGAUUAAUAAAUCUUCCUUCUGUG